rnacentral:rRNA from 1 species
GACGAACCGAGCGAACGUUGUUCGGAAUCACUGGGCUUAAAGGGCGCGUAGGCGGAUUCUCAAGUCCGGGGUGAAAUCCUCCAGCUCAACUGGAGAACUGCCUCGGAUACUGGGUGUCUCGAGGGUGGUAGGGGUAUGCGGAACUAUCGGUGGAGCGGUGAAAUGCGUUGAUAUCCAUAGGAACUCCGGUGGCGAAGGCGGCGUGCUGGAUCUCUUCUGACGCUGAGGCGCGAAAGCCAGGGGAGCAAACGGG